rnacentral:rRNA from 1 species
CUUGGUCAUUUAGAGGAAGUAAAAGUCGUAACAAGGUCUCCGUAGGUGAACCUGCGGAGGGAUCAUUACCGAGCGAGGGCGCCCCGCGCCCGACCUCCCAACCCUCUGUUAACCGUACCGCGUUGCCUCGGGGCCGCCCUCACGGGCGCCCCAGAGGACAUCCAUCAAAACCCUGCGUCUUUGCGUCGGAGUAUUAGUUUGAAUCAAUCAAAACUUUCAACAACGGAUCUCUUGGUUCUGGCAUCGAUGAAGAACGCAGCGAAAUGCGAUAAGUAAUGUGAAUUGCAGAAUUCAGUGAAUCAUCGAAUCUUUGAACGCACAUUGCGCCCUUUGGCAUUCCGAGGGGCAUGCCCGUUCGAGCGUCAUUACACCACUCAAGCCUGGCUUGGUAUUGGGGCGUCGGGUCAACCCGCGCCUCCAUUGAAAAUUCGGCUGUGGUCUGAAACUCAUCCCCUGCGUCGUGAGAAUUUGAUUUCCUCUCGCUCGGGUGGGCGGCCGGCACGCCGUUAAACCAUUUUAUCACAGGUUGACCUCGGAUCGGGKWAGGGAUACCCGCUGAACUUNAAGCAUAUCAAUAAGCGGAGGANAAAGAAACCAACAGGGAUUGCCCUAGUAACGGCGNAGUGNAAGCGGCAACAGCUCAAAUUUGAAAUCUGGCGCAAGCCCGAGUUGUAAUUUGUAGAGGAUGCUUYUGGGUARCGGCCGGUCUAARUUCCUUGGAACAGGACGUCAUAGAGGGUGAGAAUCCCGUAUGUGACUGGUUGGCGCCCUCCACGUAGCUCCUUCGACGAGUCGAGUUGUUUGGGAAUGCAGCUCUAAAUGGGUGGUAAAUUUCAUCUAAAGCUAAAUACCGGCCAGAGACCGAUAGCGCACAAGUAGAGUGAUCGAAAGAUGAAAAGCACUUUGGAAAGAGAGUUAAAAAGCACGUGAAAUUGUUGAAAGGGAAGCGCUUGCUACCAGACUUGUCGGCGGUGUUCCGCCGGUCUUCUGACCGGUCUACUCGCCGCCGGCAGGCCAGCGUCGUCUGGGGCCGCCGGAUAAAGGCUCGGGGAAUGUGGCUCCUCCGGGAGUGUUAUAGCCCCGUGCACAAUACGGUGAGCCUCGGGCGAGGUCCGCGCUUCGGCAAGGACGCUGGCGUAAUGGUCGUAAGCGGCCCGUCUUGAAACACGGACC